rnacentral:rRNA from 1 species
CGGAGGGGCUAGCGUUGUUCGGAAUUACUGGGCGUAAAGCGCACGUAGGCGGUUUUGCAAGUCAGAGGUGAAAGCCCGGAGCUCAACUCCGGAAUUGCCUUUGAGACUGCAUCACUUGAACGUCGGAGAGGUGAGUGGAAUUCCGAGUGUAGAGGUGAAAUUCGUAGAUAUUCGGAAGAACACCAGUGGCGAAGGCGGCUCACUGGACGACUGUUGACGCUGAGGUGCGAAAGCGUGGGGAGCAAACAGGAUU